UACGUAGGGUGCAGGCGUUAAUCGGAAUUACUGGGCGUAAAGCGUGCGCAGGCGGUUUGCUAAGACAGGCGUGAAAGCCCCGGGCUCAACCUGGGAAUGGCGCUUGGGACUGGUUGGCUUGAGUUCGGGAGAGGAGAGUGGAAUUCCCAGUGUAGAGGUGAAAUUCGUAGAUAUUGGGAAGAACACCGGUGGCGAAGGCGGCUCUCUGGACCGAGACUGACGCUGAGGCGCGAAAGCUAGGGGAGCAAACGGG
rnacentral:rRNA from 1 species